rnacentral:pre_miRNA from 1 species
UUAGUACUCCCUCCGUCCGAAAAUACUUGUCAUCAAAAUGAAUAAAAAGGGAUGUAUCUAGAACUAAAAUACAUCUAGAUACAUUCCCUUUUAUUCAUUUUGAUGACAAGUAUUUCCGGACGGAGGGAGUAUUAU